GUUAAAUUCCUCCUCUCCCUGUUUUUACUGCGCGUUUCCCAGCUUGAAUAGGAAUCUAAUAGAAGAGCGGGUAUUUAGCUGUCUUAAAGGACAGCCUCGCACAGAGACCUUUUUUUAGGGGGCAAAAAACAAGCUGGGAGGUUUAAAUCCCAAAGCGGGGAGGUCCGUAGACCCGGAGGCAUCCACCAGACGCUGGUCCCGCCGUGGGCGAGCGAGUUUUGGGCCCGCGCGAGGGCCUCCGACUCCGCUUCCCCCGGCGCCAAGCCGGGAGGGAGGCGAGCCAAGGCUGUGCUUUUCCUCGGGAUGGGGAUGGAGGUUGUGGCGCGAGCCCGCAGAGGGCGGUGGAGCCGAGAAAAUCCGCGGCGAGGAGUCGGCAACGCCGGGAGCUGGGACGCCGGCGCAGUUGGGCGGCCUGAGUCCGGCCUCGGCCAACGCGUGUUUGAAGCGCGGCGAAACGCCCGCGUUUCUAGGAAAAAGAGCGGGGCGGGAGAGGGGGAUUUGCUCUCUGGCACCCCCCAAAUCUGGGGGUGUUUGGGAGGCUGCUGGGGGGUGGGCAGAGCCGGCAGGAGGUGACUCAUGCUGCUGGCGCACCGGUGCCGGCCCUGAGCUUGCCCGAUCUGGGGUGGGUUUUUCUUUAUUUUUUCUUUAUUUUUUCUUUUUUCUUUAUUUUUCUUUUAUUUUUUUCUUUAUUUUUUCUUUAUUUUGCUUUAUUUUACACUUGGCUGUGCCCCCCCCCCCAAGGGCUGAGCCCAGACCGGUUGGCCUGGCCGUUCCCUUAGGAAGGAGAGGAAGGCUCCAAGCGGGGUGGGUUUUUUUUGUUGUUUAUUUUUAUUUUAUUUUAUUAUUUUUUUUUUUUUGCCCGGAGGGCACAUUGGCAGGGGAUCAAUGGGGAAAAAGCAGGAGAAAAACCCAGCGAGGGAGGCGCUGCGGCGCCAGGCGAGAGCCGGUGCCUGGAGGUGCCUCCAGAACGAGCUGGAAAACGCCGUUUUUUCACAGCAAUCCCGGGCCAGCUGCUCCCCAAAUACCUGCAUCUACCACCUGGGGAGCUGCUUAACUGCUGUAAUAAAAGAAGUUUUCCCCUUUCUCCUCGUUUGCGG
rnacentral:lncRNA from 1 species